rnacentral:lncRNA from 1 species
AGCUAGCGAAUUUGGAGUAAGAAUCAAUGCUGUCGGUAUUACGGUAUAGUAGUUUCUUUGGAAAAAAAAUCAAAAAAACAAAAUUCGAAAAAAAAAUUUCAAAAAAAACAUUCAAAAAAAAAUUAUUUUCCAUUCAAACUCAAAAGAUUGGAUAUCAAGUUGAAAAAAAAAAUCGUGAAAAAAAAUUGUGAAAAAAAAAGAAAAGCUAGUUUUGAAAUUUUGUUGUUGUUUGCUGCCCCAAAUUUUUAGUCAUUACUACCUUCUAUUGUUUCGCCACACCCAACAUUUUCAUUUCUUUGUUUCAAGUUUACUUUCCUUUGUCCUACAAUAAUCUUACCAAGCCCAAAGAUCAAGUUUGUAAGCCGACC